rnacentral:piRNA from 1 species
UGAACGGAUCUGUGUUCCUCCAAUGCCA